AAGUCGUAACAAGGUUUCCGUAGGUGAACCUGCGGAAGGAUCAUUAACACGUAUCCAACGUUAAACAACCCUGUGAACCUUCAUUCCUGCUCUCCUUGUCCGUUGAGAAAGCAAUCCCUGGUAAAUCACACGAACAGUUUGAUUCAGGGACCUCUUUUGAUGACGCACUUGGAUUCGAUGCGGCGUCGUAAUUUAGACUUGGUUUCUGGAAGGCUAUCAACGAGUCAAAUCGUUGACUGACGAUAAAGGAUGCUGCCUAACAAAACGCUCCUCAUAAAAACGAACAACUGUUAACAAUGGAUAUCUUGGUUCUC
rnacentral:misc_RNA from 1 species